CUGAGACAGGUGCUGCAUGGCUGUCGUCAGCUCGUGUUGUGAAAUGUUGGGUUAAGUCCCGCAACGAGCGCAACCCUUAUCCUUGUUUGCCAGCACRUAAUGGUGGGAACUCCAGGGAGACUGCCGGUGAUAAACCGGAGGAAGGUGGGGACGACGUCAAGUCAUCAUGGCCCUUACGAGUAGGGCUACACACGUGCUACAAUGGCAGAUACAGAGGGCAGCGAAGCUGCGAAGUGGAGCGAAUCCCUUAAAGUCUGUCGUAGUCCGGAUUGGAGUCUGCAACUCGACUCCAUGAAGUCGGAAUCGCUAGUAAUCGUGGAUCAGAAUGCCACGGUGAAUACGUUCCCGGGCCUUGUACACACCGCCCGUCACACCAUGGGAGUGGGCUGCACCAGAAGUAGAUAGCUUAACCUUCGGGAGGGCGUUUACCACGGUGUGGUUCAUGACUGGGGUGAAGUCGUAACAAGGUAGCCCUAGGGGAACCUGGGGCUGGAUCACCUCCUUACU
rnacentral:rRNA from 1 species